AUGGGGAUGGAGCCUCGGGGCAGAGCGCAGGUGGCGCACCCUUGGGGAAAAGUUAAAGUCAGUGCCUAUGUGGGAAAGGAGCCUGAGCAGAGGAAUAGAGACAUACCUAAUAUGUCAAACCACCCCUGAACCCUACCUCCACUGUUCAACUCCACAGCGGGCUGGGAUCCCCCCUGAACAUACCAACAAUGAGAAAAAGUCAAGGUGAGCCAGACUGGUCUCCAGCUAUGUAUUUGUCAGUCUUCACGUGAGUCCUACGGGCAUUUGCAUGAGCUAGCAACUGGUCUGCCAGUGUCACGAAGGACUCUUGUAAUUCACUCCACAUGUUUGCUGUGUGUCAGCUUGGAGCUAGCUUAAUUUAAUAUCCAAAAGAGAAGCUGCUCAAAGGACAAACCCAAGUCUGCAAUGCCACAUGGAAUUGAUUCCCUACUAAAUUACUCAUCUCUGAAAACCAGGGACCAUAAAGACACCUUUCAUGUGUGGAUAGUGUCAUGAACACAGAUCUCUGCCACAACUGAGCUCAGAGUGGAAUCAUAAAAUGGAUUUAAAUCAUUCGGAAACAAACUCUGUCCUGCAGAAUUUUCUCGAGAUGUACGUGGAAGAGAGGAAAAAUGUUAGGCUCAAUAAUUUCACCAGCCCGGCCUUGAAGGAGCAAGAGGAGAUAACGGCCUCUUUUUACAUCCUUAUCAUCGUUGGAUUUUUUGGCUUCCUCCUUUUCUCCCUGAUGAUCAGCAAUAUUGUUUCCAACAAGCCUGAAAACUACAUUGACUAUCUCUAUUCUGGGAAGUUUAACAGCCAGGGAAAUGAAAGAGGACUUCAGAGAAAAGAAAGCAAAGACACGUCGGUAACGAUUAGCGACGAAGUGAUGGUGGACCCUAGCAAAACUAGGGAACGGCAAAAAACUGACAGUAAUAACAAUGAGCCUGAGACACCAAGCCAAGAAACAGCUCUGAGAAACGUAUGAAAGAGCAUUGAUGGGCCUUCUUUAAAGAAGGAACAGGAAUCAAAAGAUGAUUUUAUUGUUCACAAAAGUGAGAUACUGGUAGCACUGUCUAGUGUCAGGACAUAGCACAGCUCGGUAUGGUGCAAGCUUCCCACAUGCAGCUGUGAAAGCACCUCCUCAAUCCUGAAGUGCAACAUAAUGCCCUUGUGAUGCCAGUGCUGGGCCUGUGCAGAAGUGACUGGAAAUCAAGUCCAAACUUGUGUGACUCUUUUAUAUUCUCUUUUCUAAUGUGUUUUUAUAAUGCGUCUCUCAAAAGAAUGAAACGCCUCCCUCCUUAUGCUCCUGUCUUGCCACUGCAUGCGCUGGUGGCUUUUCUAGCCGUGUUGGCAUUAUUAUUAUUGUUCGUUAUUUAUUUAUUUGGUUAGCACCAACCACCUCUUCAUGGCUGUAUGCUAUACAAAAAUAAAGACCGUCAACAGUCUCUGGCAAAUGAUGCUGUGGUCUAAGGCAGGACUGCUAUGGAUCCACAGGGUCUGGUCUGUGCCUCCACCUGUAACCAGUGUCUUGGGAGUGAGCCCUUUAAUGUGCCAGGCCCAGGGCCCUACACAGUUCCACUAGGGCAGGCCUAUCAUCCCCAAGGCUCUGAGACUAGUCCUUAAGCAACAGCGAUCCCUGACUCUCUCUCUGGGUGACUCCCUGCAACAAAUCCAGACAAACCAGACUCCUGUGGGAGGCUUGUACUGUACCCCUUCAGGGUGCAAUGCUCUCAGGGAGUAUUUGCAGUGACACCAGGGAGCCUUCUCAAAAUAAGGUAGCAGGUUAUUAGUCACCUGGCAUACAGCAUCUGAAAGUCCUUAGGUGAGCAAAGAGACGCAGAGAUUAAGCCAUAGUCCAUUCUGGCCAAGCCAGUGCCAUGAGCCAGACAAGCUGUAAUAGAAUCCAUCUCCAGCUGCC